AGACCUACGGGAUGCAGCAGUGAGGAAUAUUGGUCAAUGGCCGGAAGGCUGAACCAGCCAAGCCGCGUGAAGGACGAAGGUGCCAAGCAUUGUAAACUUCUUUUGUCAAGGGACAAAAUCAGGCUCGAGAGCCUGACCGAGGGUACUUGAAGAAAAAGCAUCGGCUAACUCCGUGCCAGCAGCCGCGGUAAUACGGAGGAUGCGAGCGUUAUCCGGAUUUAUUGGGUUUAAAGGGUGCGUAGGGGGGCUGUUAAGGCAGCGGUAAA
rnacentral:rRNA from 1 species